rnacentral:rRNA from 1 species
GGAAGGCUCGUCCUCCCAGGGUUAGUCGGGACCUAAGUCGAGGCCGAGAGGCGUAGACGAUGGAUAACAGGUUGAGAUUCCUGUACUAGUUAAGUGCGUUUGAGCAAUGGAGGGACGCAGGAGGCUAAGAUGUGCAUUCUGUUGGAUUAGAAUGUCCAAGCAGUAAGUCUUGUGAAGAGUCAAAUGCUUUUCACUUUAAGGACAAGCUGUGAUGGGGAGCGAAAUUUAGUAGCGAAGCGUCUGAUGUCACACUGCCGAGAAAAGCUUCUAGUGAGUACUUAACUACCCGUACCGCAAACCGACACAGGUAGUCGAGGAGAGAAUCCUAAGGUGAGCGAGUGAACUCUCGUUAAGGAACUCGGCAAAAUGACCCCGUAACUUCGGGAGAAGGGGUGCUGAUCGCAAGAUCAGCCGCAGUGAAUAGGCCCAGGCGACUGUUUAUCAAAAACACAGGUCUCUGCAAAAUCGUAAGAUGACGUAUAGGGGCUGACGCCUGCCCGGUGCUGGAAGGUUAAAAGGAUGGGUUAGCUUCGGCGAAGCUCAGAAUUGAAGCCCCAGUAAACGGCGGCCGUAACUAUAACGGUCCUAAGGUAGCGAAAUUCCUUGUCGGGUAAGUUCCGACCCGCACGAAAGGCGUAACGAUCUGGGCACUGUCUCAACGAGAGACUCGGUGAAAUUAUAUUGUCCGUGAAGAUGCGGACUACCCGCGACAGGACGGAAAGACCCCAUGGAGCUUUACUGUAGCUUGAUAUUGAGUGUUUGUACAGCUUGUACAGGAUAGGUAGGAGCCAUAGAAACCGGAACGCUAGUUUCGGUGGAGGCGUUGGUGGGAUACUACCCUCGCUGUAUGACCACUCUAACCCGCACCACUAAUCGUGGUGGGAGACAGUGUCAGGUGGGCAGUUUGACUGGGGCGGUCGCCUCCUAAAAAGUAACGGAGGCGCCCAAAGGUUCCCUCAGAAUGGUUGGAAAUCAUUCGCAGAGUGUAAAGGCACAAGGGAGCUUGACUGCGAGACAGACAGGUCGAGCAGGGACGAAAGUCGGGCUUAGUGAUCCGGUGGUACCGUAUGGAAGGGCCAUCGCUCAACGGAUAAAAGCUACCCUGGGGAUAACAGGCUUAUCUCCCCCAAGAGUCCACAUCGACGGGGAGGUUUGGCACCUCGAUGUCGGCUCAUCGCAUCCUGGGGCUGUAGUCGGUCCCAAGGGUUGGGCUGUUCGCCCAUUAAAGCGGUACGCGAGCUGGGUUCAGAACGUCGUGAGACAGUUCGGUCCCUAUCCGUCGCGGGCGUAGGAAAUUUGAGAGGACCUGUCCUUAGUACGAGAGGACCGGGAUGGACAUACCUCUGGUGUACCAGUUGUGCCGCCAGGCGCAUCGCUGGGUAGCUACGUAUGGAUGUGAUAAACGCUGAAAGCAUCUAAGUGUGAAACACACCUCGAGAUGAGAUUUCCCAUUCCUUUAUGGAAGUAAGACCCCUGAAAGAUGAUCAGGUAGAUAGGUUAGAAGUGGCAGUGCGGUGACGCAUGAAGCGGACUAAUACUAAUCGGUCGAGGACUUAACCAAG